UAUUAUUUUUACAACAUUGGACUAACUUACAAUGUAACAUCGAACACACAGCAAGAAUUUGAGGAACGUUGAAAAAAUGUUCAUCACAUCUAUAUUUCAAAUUAUUCUAGUUGUACUAUUUUAAUAUUAUUCUUUAGUUUUUAGUUUUUACUACUGUUAAGAAAAUCGUUACGUGUCUGUGUAAUGGCGCAACACUAGACCGAGGAGCAGAUUAACAAUAACAUAACAGCUGUCAUUAUACCCGUUUUAAAAAAUAAGCGCGCCAUUCUUGCCUGUAAUCCAUAAACUUAGUGUUGAAAUAUAUUAACAUUGUUACAAGUAAUACUGAAUUUACUGAAAAACAAAGUGUUCCUGUGUCUAAGUUAAUAACUGCUUAUAUUUGAGUUCCAAGAUUUCUGUUUUUUGAUGUUUGUUGAUUUCUAAAUAUAACCUAGGGAUUUUGAAUACCAUUUUAUGUUUGGUUAAACAGGAAUGAUAUGUCCCAUCAGUCUCAUAAACACGUUUUUAUAUUUUCCUGGAAAUUCAUAACAAAAUCGCUCUGGCGAGGCACUGAGCGAGGUGCUGGUGGAGUGAUUAGACGCAGUAGACAGCGGGGAGCCGUGCGGCCUGGCAGACCCCCUGCCGCGGUGGAUACGCAGCGUCAGUCGGUUGUCAUCGAAACGGUUACCGAGUCCUUUUCCUGGAAUACAGCCAACUAGCGGUGGGAAGCAUAUCACAAACGACAGCACCCAAAGACCAGCGAUGAGCGCUUUAGCGCGCCGCCUGCUCAUGAUGGAG